rnacentral:rRNA from 1 species
CGUAGGUGGCAAGCGUUGUCCGGAAUUACUGGGUGUAAAGGGAGCGUAGGCGGGGAGGCAAGUUGAAUGUUUAAACUAUCGGCUCAACUGAUAGUCGCGUUCAAAACUGCCACUCUUGAGUGCAGUAGAGGUAGGCGGAAUUCCUAGUGUAGCGGUGAAAUGCGUAGAUAUUAGGAGGAACACCAGUGGCGAAGGCGGCCUACUGGGCUGUAACUGACGCUGAGGCUCGAAAGCGUGGGUAGCAAACAGGAUU